GACGAACGCUGGCGGCGUGCUUAACACAUGCAAGUCGAACGGAAAGGCCCUGCUUUUGUGGGGCGCUCGAGUGGCGAACGGGUGAGUAACACGUGAGUAACCUGCCCUUGACUUUGGGAUAACUUCAGGAAACUGGGGCUAAUACCGGAUAGGAGCUCCUGCUGCAUGGUGGGGGUUGGAAAGUUUCGGCGGUUGGGGGUGGACUCGCGGCUUAUCAGCUUGUUGGUGGGGUAGUGGCUUACCAAGGCUUUGAAGGGUAGCCGGCAUGAGAGGGUGGCCGGCCACAUUGGGACUGCGAUACGGCCCAGAAUGCUACGGGAGGCAGCAGUGGAGAAUAUUGCACAAUGGGCGGAAGCCUGAUGCAGCAACGCCGCGUGCGGGAUGACGGCCUUCGGGUUGUAAACCGCUUUCGCCUGUGACGAAGCGUGAGUGACGGUAAUGGGUAAAGAAGCACCGGCUAACUACGUG
rnacentral:rRNA from 1 species